UACAGAGGGUGCGAGCGUUAAUCGGAAUUACUGGGCGUAAAGCGCGCGUAGGCGGCUUUGCAAGUCGGGUGUGAAAUCCCCAGGCUUAACCGGGGAACUGCGUCCGAUACUGGAGGGCUUGAGUGUGGGAGAGGGAUGCGGAAUUCCAGGUGUAGCGGUGAAAUGCGUAGAUAUCUGGAGGAACACCGGUGGCGAAGGCGGGACUCUGGGCCGAUACUGACGCUGAGGAGCGAAAGCGUGGGGAGCAAACAGG
rnacentral:rRNA from 1 species